GAUGAAGAACGUAGUGAAAUGCGAUACUUGGUGUGAAUUGCAGAAUCCCGUGAACCAUCGAGUCUUUGAACGCAAGUUGCGCCUCAAGCCAUUAGGUUGAGGGCACGUCUGCCUGGGCGUCACAUAUCGUUGCCUGAUGCCAGUUUCCUCGUGAUGGGUGACUGUGCAGGGCGAAUGAUGGCUUCCCGUGAGCAUUGUUGCCUCAUGGUUGGUUGAAAAUUGAGUCCUUGGUAGGGAGCGCCGUGAUAGAUGGUGGUUGAGUGACGAACGAGACCCAAUCAUGUGAGACCCCUACCGAAUUUGGCCUUCAUGACCCACAUGCGUCUUUGGAACGCUCAUGACGAGACCUCAGGUCAGGCGGGGCUACCCGCUGAGUUUAAGCAUAUCAAUAAGCGGAGG
rnacentral:misc_RNA from 1 species